rnacentral:rRNA from 1 species
GACGAACGCUGGCGGCGUGCCUAAUACAUGCAAGUUGAGCGAUGAAGAUUGGUGCUUGCACCAAUUUGAAGAGCAGCGAACGGGUGAGUAACGCGUGGGGAAUCUGCCUUUGAGCGGGGGACAACAUUUGGAAACGAAUGCUAAUACCGCAUAAUAACUUUAAACAUAAGUUUUAAGUUUGAAAGAUGCAAUUGCAUCACUCAAAGAUGAUCCCGCGUUGUAUUAGCUAGCUGGUGAGGUAAAGGCUCACCAAGGCGAUGAUACAUAGCCGACCUGAGAGGGUGAUCGGCCACAUUGGGACUGAGACACGGCCCAAACUCCUACGGGAGGCAGCAGUAGGGAAUCUUCGGCAAUGGACGAAAGUCUGACCGAGCAACGCCGCGUGAGUGAAGAAGGUUUUCGGAUCGUAAAACUCUGUUGGUAGAGAAGAACGUUGGUGAGAGUGGAAAGCUCAUCAAGUGACGGUAACUACCCAGAAAGGGACGGCUAACUACGUG